ACCCGCUGAACUUAAGCAUAUCAAUAAGCGGAGGAAAAGAAACCAACAGGGAUUGCUCUAGUAACGGCGAGUGAAGCAGCAAUAGCUCAAAUUUGAAAUCUGGCGUCUUCGACGUCCGAGUUGUAAUUUGUAGAGGAUGCUUCUGAGUGGCCACCGACCUAAGUUCCUUGGAACAGGACGUCAUAGAGGGUGAGAAUCCCGUAUGCGGUCGGAAAGGCGCUCUAUACGUAGCUCCUUCGACGAGUCGAGUUGUUUGGGAAUGCAGCUCUAAAUGGGAGGUAAAUUUCUUCUAAAGCUAAAUAUUGGCCAGAGACCGAUAGCGCACAAGUAGAGUGAUCGAAAGAUGAAAAGCACUUUGGAAAGAGAGUUAAAAAGCACGUGAAAUUGUUAAAAGGGAAGGGAUUGCAACCAGACUUGCUCGCGGUGUUCCGCCGGUCUUCUGACCGGUCUACUCGCCGCGUUGCAGGCCAGCGUCGUCUGGUGCCGCUGGAUAAGACUUGAGGAAUGUAGCUCCCUCGGGAGUGUUAUAGCCUCUUGUGAUGCAGCGAGCGCCGGGCGAGGUCCGCGCUUCGGCUAGGAUGCUGGCGUAAUGGUCGUAAUCCGCCCGUCUUGAAACACGGACCAAGGAGUCUAACAUCUAUGCGAGUGUUCGGGUGUCAAACCCCUACGCGUAAUGAAAGUGAACGGAGGUGAGAACCGCAAGGUGCAUCAUCGACCGAUCCUGAUGUCUUCGGAUGGAUUUGAGUAAGAGCAUAGCUGUUGGGACCCGAAAGAUGGUGAACUAUGCCUGAAUAGGGUGAAGCCAGAGGAAACUCUGGUGGAGGCUCGCAGCGGUUCUGACGUGCAAAUCGAUCGUCAAAUUUGGGUAUAGGGGCGAAAGACUAAUCGAACCAUCUAGUAGCUGGUUCCUGCCGAAGUUUCCCU
rnacentral:rRNA from 1 species